rnacentral:lncRNA from 1 species
UACAUCCUAAAAUUUCUUUUAACUUGCUCUGAUACAUGAUAAAAUUUGAUCUGAUACAGUGUGAAAGUUUCUCUGAUAUAUUAUAACAUUUGCUCUGAUACAGUGUGAAAUUUUCUCUGACAUUUGCUUUAAUACAGUGUGAAAUUUUCUCUGAUAUAUUAUAAAUUUUUUUUGCUCUGAUACAUUGUAAAAUCUUUUCUGAUAUCAUUGUAAAAAUUAUUUUUCUUGCUCUGAUACAUUGCAAAAUUUAUUUAUCUUCUCUUACUCUGAUAUAUUUUAAACUCAAAAUGAUCUAAUACCCUUUUUAAAUCUUUAAGAAAAUGGACAAACUAUUUUUGCAUUUAUAUUACAUGCCAAAAGAAUCAUAUUUUUUUUCAAGCAUAUACACCUAUAAUGGAUUCUUUUGAAAUUAAUGCAUUAACAUAAAUAUUUUUGUUCAAAUAUUUUGUCAUCAUCAAAAAGGGGGAGAUUGUUGCUCCUAGAUUGAUUUUGAUGAUUACAAAGCAGAUUGAAGGGAUACAAAUAAUUUUAAAAUGAAAAAGUCCUUAUGCUCUUCAAGGGCAAAAUC